AUUGAACGCUGGCGGCAUGCUUUACACAUGCAAGUCGAACGGUAACAGGCCUUCGGGUGCUGACGAGUGGCGAACGGGUGAGUAAUGCAUCGGAACGUACCCAGAGGUGGGGGAUAACGCAGCGAAAGCUGUGCUAAUACCGCAUGUGAUCUGAGGAUGAAAGCGGGGGACCGAGCAGCAAUGUUUGGCCUCGCGCCUUUGGAGCGGCCGAUGUCGGAUUAGCUAGUUGGUGGGGUAAAGGCCUACCAGGGCGACGAUCCGUAGCUGGUCUGAGAGGACGACCAGCCACACUGGGACUGAGACACGGCCCAGACUCCUAAGGGAGGGAGCAGUGGGGAAUUUUGGACAAUGGGCGCAAGCCUGAUCCAGCAAGGCCGCGUGCGGGAAGAAGGCCUUCGGGUUGUAAACCGCUUUUGGCAGGAACGAAACGGUGUCCGCUAAUACCGGGCGCUAAUGACGGUACCUGCAGAAUAAGCACCGGCUAACUACGUG
rnacentral:rRNA from 1 species